GUCGACCUCAAAUCCUUUGCCAAUAUCAGUUGCUAGCUCUUUCUCGAAGGCCUGCAGAGUGUUGGUGAAUCCUCUAAACACGAGGAAUUCUCUCACUAAUUCCUCCGCGAAUUUCAUUUUCUCCAUUUACUCUAGUCUAGGUUGCAGAAUGGCAAAAUUGGAUUGGGUUUUCUGCACUGCAAAGAAUCUUUGGUUUAGAUAUAUAUACGUUGGUGGCACCAAUUUUUCAGACCCUUUUUUCUCCCGAAUUUCGGAAAAAUAAAAAUCUACUGGCUUCAUAGCCUAGGGUACUUUGAUGCUAAAUAUUUGGAAAUCAAAAACUAAAAUAGAUUUUACUUUAAAAACAAAAACAAAAACAAAAACAAACAGGUAUUGAAAAUCUUAUCUGACGUGUAUAGUCAUGGUUUUGUUGGAUUACGUAAUACUUCAUCCGUUAAUAAAAAAUACUCACUCCGUCCCAUUAAUAAAGACAUAGGUCUUUUGGGCACGGAGAUUAAGGAGAGGUAGAUUAAUUGUUAAAGUGUUGUGGCCCACCACUAUUAGUGUAGUUGAUUAGUUUUAAUUUAGUGUACUCCCUCCGUCCCACGAGUCUUGACACGUUUUCCUUUUUGGGCCAUCCCACGAAUCUUGACACGUUUCCUUUUGUGGCAAUAAUUAUUACCUUCUCUCUACUACUUUAUCACCUUUAUUAUAUUCUCUCACCUACUUUAUCACUUUUAUUACUUUCUCUCUCCUACUUUAUCAAUUUUAUACUUUAUUAAUUACACACUUAAAACACUAAUCUACAACUCCUUAAUUCCUGUGCCGAAUCCAAACGUGUCAAGACUCGCGGGACGGAGGGAGUAUUUAUUUAUUUCUAUUUAAUGUUUUAGUUGAAUUUUAAAUUUUUGUAAUUUCAUUAAUUUCAAAAAUUUUAAUUAAUUUAAAUGAAUUAAAUAAAAAAUAUUGUCCAACCACCACCGCCGCCUCCGACACCACCGCCACCUCACAAAUUCAACCCCCAAUUCAUACCCAAAAUCGAAACUCAAAUUCAACCCCCAAAUCAAACCUAGAAAUUCAACCCCCAAAUCAAACCCAGAAAUUCAACCCCCAAAUCCAACCACCACCUCCGACAACCACCACCGCCGCCUACGACAACCACCACCACCUCAGAAAUUCAACCCCCAAAUCAAACCUAGAAAUCAAACCCAAAAUCGAACCUGCAAAAUCGAACCCAAAAAUCGAAUCGCGGUAAACCCUAGCCCCUAACCCAAAAAUCGAAUCGCGGCAGACACAGAGUCUAGGGAGAGAGAGAUGAGCGAGAGAGAUGAGGGAGAACCGAGAGGGGAAGAGAGAGGAGUCGGACAGAGAGAGAUGCGAGGGGAAGAAGGAAGGCGGUCGCGGCGCGGCCCCAGAGCCGCCGUCGGCUGGAGAAGGAGAAGCAGGCGGCGGCGGAGAAGGAGAAGAGAGGGGGAUGGGCGCCGCGCUGCAAACCCUAGUCCACCGGCGAGGAGGGAGAGAACGAAGGAGAGGAGGCAAAUUAACGAUUCCGUCGGAGGAAGCGAAGCCACCGCUGCUGUGCAGUCGAAAGGAGAAGAGAGGGGGGUGGGUGACGGUCGAACGAGGGGGGGUGGUGGACGGCUGUUCGGNAAAGAAAGAAAGGAAAAAAAACAUAACAAAAGUAACUUAAAUGUAUAUAGACAUCUUUUACUUGGAAGCCUCCUGUUGCAAUGAACCAGAAGGAAAGCUAGGCAAAUUUGUUGUUUGCGAUUACAUCAUAGAAACAACUAAUUACACUAAACAAACUUAGACGUCAUACAUGAUCUUGUUGCUUCACACACUUAAUCAGAAUUGUAAGUCUACAAACUGAAAAUCAUCUUAAUUUCUCAAGUUAGAAAAGUCUGUUCAACAAAGCAUUGUCACAUUGAAAGCAUGACUACUUGUCUUGUUCUUCCAAUCCAACGGACCAACAAUUAAGGAUUUUAAUUUUCAAGUGACAAUUCUUUGUAACUUUUAAAUAAUCCUCUUUCCACUACUCAAGUUUUAAGUGGCGCCACAAGAAUCUCUUUUAAGGAUAUAGCAUAGCUCAAAUAUUACUUAAAGUUAUGAACUACAAGCUGCAUUCAAUCUUCAUUAAGGAUAUGAGUACCAUUGAGCAUCUCGCUUAAGAAAUUCCUAAGAGAAAGGUGCAAAGCACGGAACCACUCCUCCGAAAAGUACACGCGGAACUGCGGAUCCAAAUGCGGAUUCUGCAAAUACGGAACCGCUGCAACGACCAAAAUUUUAAAAAAAUACAGACCCAUAACAGCACAGAAAAUUCAUCGAAAGUUGUACUCACCGAACCAGGAACUCCAACUUUCAUCUCUCCGCAUCAAAUCAUUCCCAAAGUCUCUGAAAAAUUCCAACACCGUGUCUUUCCUUCCACAUUUCAAGGCAUAAACAACGUAAUAACGCAGAAUUGACUGGUGCAAUUUCGAAAUAACAUCAAUCAGAUUCGAAUCAGAAUAUGAAAAGCAGUUUCUGAAAAAGCUCAGCAGAUCGAUCAACUUCCCAGCUUCAAACUUAGGGAUGUAGACGGAGAAAAUUAGGUCUAUAAUCUUGUCGACCUCAAAUCCUUUGCCAAUAUCAGUUGCUAGCUCUUUCUCGAAGGCCUGCAGAGUGUUGGUGAAUCCUCUAAACACGAGGAAUUCUCUCACUAAUUCCUCCGCGAAUUUCAUUUUCUCCAUUUACUCUAGUCUAGGUUGCAGAAUGGCAAAAUUGGAUUGGGUUUUCUGCACUGCAAAGAAUCUUUGGUUUAGAUAUAUAUACGUUGGUGGCACCAAUUUUUCAGACCUUUUUUCUCCCGAAUUUCGGAAAAAUAAAAAUCUACUGGCGUCAUA
rnacentral:lncRNA from 1 species